GUGUCAGCAGCCGCGGUAAUACGAAGGGGGCUAGCGUUGUUCGGAAUUACUGGGCGUAAAGCGCGCGCAGGCGGUUUUCCAAGUCAGUGGUGAAAGCCCGGAGCUCAACUCCGGAAAUGCCAUUGAAACUGCAAAACUUGAGUACGAGAGAGGUGAGUGGAAUUCCCAGUGUAGAGGUGAAAUUCGUAGAUAUUGGGAAGAACACCGGUGGCGAAGGCGGCUCACUGGCUCGUAACUGACGCUCAGGCGCGAUAGCGUGGGGAUCAAACAGGAUUAGAUACCCUGGUAGUCC
rnacentral:rRNA from 1 species